AAAUACAAAAUCCUAUUAAUAAUGUUGAAACUUUAUUAAUGUUACGCGCCCAUCUCUACAGGUUCGCGAGGCCUCAACAUUUUUCCCUUUUUUGUUAAAACCCUAAUAGGAUUUUUCUCUAAGAAACAUGGAUCCCCAAUCUAAAAUUUCGAAGGUCGUCCGUGAAGGUGAAUUAUUCAAAGCUGUUCGAAGGACGCUUUAGAAGCCCUACAACUUGAAAUCGCUGAUUAUUGAGAAGCCAUGAAGCUCGAAAUCAGUUCCUAGUAAAAAUCCCUCAACUUAAAGUGAAUGCACAUUGAGGAAGGUGUACGCAGUAUGGGGUCUUGAGGAGACGAAACAAAUUGUGGCUGGUGUGAAACUAAAGCUCUGGUUGCCUUAAAAGAUGCAAGAAACGCCGCAUCGAACGAAGAGGCAGCGGCGAGGUCGCUGGCUCUGGUGCUCGUUGGAAAACUUCUUGAUGGUUACCUUCCAACGCGAAUCUCAAGCCGGAGAAAUUCUACAAUUUCGCCAUCUCUUCCCGAUUAGGCAAGACUCUUCCACGUAUCUGCCUUUGGCACGUCUGGUAUCCAUUCCUUUGGCACAUGUCAUGAGAGACUUGGGAGCAGUGGGGAAGCAGUUGCUGAUCUGAAACAACUAUUCUCUCUCGCUGAAAAAUUGGUUUUUCAAAUGGCUUCAAUUUGAUGCAUCACUUCUUCGAGGUCUUGCUAACCACACAGAUACUUGAGGUCAGAAUUUCAUGGUUAUUACCAAAUAGAUGUUGAAGUUUACAUCAAUUUAAACAAUGAGUUAGGACCGUUUUUGACCAAAUAGAUGUUUUAAACCCUUUUAUGCUUAAUGUUACUGGAAUAUAAUUUAUGAUUUGUGGUUUGUGUAACAACAUUUUGUAAUAAUUGACAUUGACAAAUAACAACUGGUG